AGGGCUCUCCGGCGUGGCUGGCCGGCCGGCUGCCCGACAACCUGGCGCAGCUGGUGGCCACCGGCGACCCGCUGGAGGUCGUUCCGUCCUGCCCCCUGGCCGCCGAUGCGCUGGCAGCAGUUGUGCUGAACGAGCAGUUCAUCGAGUGCGUCACAGACCUGGAGCAGCUGCCCCAGCAGCCGACGGUCAGUGCGCAGCCCGGUGACGUGGUCGUGGCCCUGGAGGAGGGCAGUCCGUCCCGGGCGCUGGUCUGCGCCGCCGGCCCCAGCGGUUACAGACUGCUGUUCGUCGACUCCGGCACGCUGGGGGUGGCGGCGGCGGCGCCGGUGCGUCCACUGCCC